CACCAGCGCCACGAGUGGCUAUCACGAUUAUUGGGCCUAAAGCGUCCGUAGUCAGUUCUGUACAUCUUCUGUGAAAUCGCAGCGCUUAACGUUGCGGCACGCAGAAGACACGGCAGAGCUUGAGAGCGGGAGGCGUGAAGAGUACUCCGGGGGGACCGGUAAAAUGGUAUAAUCCCCGGAAGACUACCUGUGGCGAAGGCGCUUCACGAGAACGCAUCUGACGAUGAGGGACGAAAGCCAGGGGAGCAAACCG
rnacentral:rRNA from 1 species